rnacentral:antisense_RNA from 1 species
AUCAUUUCAGGCUUCAUUAUUUCAGACAGACAACAGGGUUUUCAGUCCGUACAAAUUCAUCAAACUGUUCACUUACGUGAUUUGCACACUUUUCCAUGUCCAUAUUUCGAGGAAAAAGUUGUAAGACAUCCAGAAUUAUGAUUUUUUUUUUUUUAAUUUUAGAGACAAAGUUUCACCCUGUCACCCAAGCUAGAAUGCAGUAGUGUGAUCAUAGCUCACUGCAGCUCCAGCCUGGGUGACUAAGACCCUGUCUCAAUUAAAAAAAAAAAAAAAAAAAAAAAAAGGAAGAUGGAGAAGGCAAUACUUUGCCCAAAGAAAUGGACUUGGGGUGGUGACAGUGGGCAUGGGAGAGAGAUUUGGUGCCAACUGGCCUUCUAAAAUCCCUCAAAUCACAGUGCAUGCCCCCUUGUUUUGCCUGUGAAGGCUCUGAGCUCUCAUUAUGGAGGAAACUCCAUAUUUGUACGAAGUACACUAG